CAGAAGAAGCCCCGACAAGCCCACUCUCCACCAGGAGCUGCCAGCCGCCGAGCGUGAGCCGCACGCAGCAAGGGCCGUGCAACCCCUUCUUUUAAUAAAAUAUCAAAGCGUCA